rnacentral:rRNA from 1 species
UACGUAGGGUGCAAGCGUUGUCCGGAAUUACUGGGCUUAAAGAGUUCGUAGGCGGCGCAGAAAGUAGGGUGUGAAAGCCCUCGGCUCAACCGAGGAAUUGCGCUCUAAACUACUGUGCUUGAGGAAUCUAGAGGUGAGCGGAACUGAUGGUGGAGCGGUGAAAUGCGUUGAUAUCAUCAGGAACACCGGAGGCGAAGGCGGCUCACUGGGGAUUUUCUGACGCUGAGGAACGAAAGCCAGGGGAGCGAACGGG